CAAAUAGAGGCAUUGACGCAGCUUUGUGUGAUGCUUUCCAUUGGGACAGAAGACUCUUUGAGCACUUUUUCAGUGGACUCUUUUGUACCUGUCCUGGUGGGGCUGCUUAAUCAUAUGAGUAAUCCUGAUAUUAUGCUUCUCGCAGCUAGGGCGUUAACCCAUUUGGUUGAUGUUCUGCCAUCUUCUUGUGCUGCUGUUGUGCAUUAUGGAGCGGUUUCAUGUUUUGUAGCUCGCUUACUCACAAUUGAAUACAUGGACUUAGCUGAGCAGUCUCUACAAGCUUUAAAGAAGAUAUCUCAAGAAGAUCCAACUGCUUGUUUGCAAGCAGGUGCACUCAUGGCUGUGCUGUCGUAUCUCGAUUUCUUUUCCACUGGUGUUCAGAGAGUAGCACUAGCAACUGCUGCUAAUAUGUGCAAGAAG
rnacentral:misc_RNA from 1 species